GAUGAACGCUAGCGACAGGCCUAACACAUGCAAGUCGAGGGGCAUCGGGACGUAGCAAUACGUUGCCGGCGACCGGCGGAUGGGUGAGUAACGCGUAUGCAACCUACCCGUAGCAGGGGGAUAGCCCGUUGAAAGACGGAUUAAUACCCCGUAACACAGGGGCUCCGCAUGGAGAUUAUUGUUAAAGGGUCAUUUCUUUUAGAGGUGGUCCGGCUGCGGAUGGGCAUGCGUUCCAUUAGGUAGUUGGUGUAGGUAACGGCUCACCAAGCCGACGAUGGAUAGGGGAACUGAGAGGUUGGUCCCCCACACUGGUACUGAGACACGGACCAGACUCCUACGGGAGGCAGCAGUGAGGAAUCUUGGUCAAUGGACGCAAGUCUGAACCAGCCAUGUCGCGUGAAGGAGGACGGCCCUAAGGGUUGUAAACUUCUUUUGCAGCGGAAUAAAGUUUGCCACGAGUUGGCGAUUUGCAAGUACGCUGCGAAUAAGGAUCGGCUAACUCCGUGCC
rnacentral:rRNA from 1 species